GACGAACGCUGGCGGCGUGCUUAACACAUGCAAGUCGAACGGAAAGGCCCUGCUUUUGUGGGGUGCUCGAGUUGCGAACGGGUGAGUAACACGUGAGUAACCUGCCCUUGACUUUGGGAUAACUUCAGGAAACUGGGGCUAAUACCGGAUAGGAGCUCCUGCUGCAUGGUGGGGGUUGGAAAGUUUCGGCGGUUGGGGAUGGACUCGCGGCUUAUCAGCUUGUUGGUGGGGUAGUGGCUUACCAAGGCUUUGACGGGUAGCCGGCCUGGGAGGGUGACCGGCCACAUUGGGACUGAGAUACGGCACAGACUACUACGGGAGGCAGCAGUGGGGAAUAUUGCACAAUGGGCGGAAGCCUGAUGCAGCCACGCCGCGUGCGGGAUGACGGCCUUCGGGUUGUAAACCGCUUUCGCCUGUGACGAAGCGUGAGUGACGGUAAUGGGUAAAGAAGCACCGGCUAACUACGUG
rnacentral:rRNA from 1 species